UGGGGAAUAUUGGACAAUGGGCGAAAGCCUGAUCCAGCCAUGCCGCGUGUGUGAAGAAGGUCUUCGGAUUGUAAAGCACUUUAAGUUGGGAGGAAGGGCAGUAAGCGAAUACCUUGCUGUUUUGACGUUACCGACAGAAUAAGCACCGGCUAACUCUGUGCCAGCAGCCGCGGUAAUACAGAGGGUGCAAGCGUUAAUCGGAAUUACUGGGCGUAAAGCGCGCGUAGGUGGUUCGUUAAGUUGAAUGUGAAAGCCCCGGGCUCAACCUGGGAACUGCAUCCAAUACUGGCGAGCUAGAGUAGGGCAGAGGGUGGUGGAAUUGCCUGUGUAGCGGUGAAAUGCGUAGAUAUAGGAAGGAACACCAGUGGCGAAGGCGACCACCUGAGCUCAUACUGACACUGAGGUGCGAAAGCGUGGGGAGCAAACAGG
rnacentral:rRNA from 1 species